rnacentral:rRNA from 1 species
UACGUAGGGGGCAAGCGUUGUCCGGAAUCAUUGGGCGUAAAGCGCGUGUAGGCGGCUCGGUAAGUCCGCUCUGAAAGUCCGGGGCUCAACCCCGGGAGGCGGGUGGAUACUGUCGAGCUCGAGUCCGGAAGAGGCGAGUGGAAUUCCUGGUGUAGCGGUGAAAUGCGCAGAUAUCAGGAGGAACACCGAUGGCGAAGGCAGGUCUCUGGGCCAUAACUGACGCUGAGAAGCGAAAGCAUGGGGAGCGAACAGG